rnacentral:rRNA from 1 species
CCUAGCCUACGGGAGGCAGCAGUGAGGAAUAUUGGUCAAUGGGCGCAAGCCUGAACCAGCCAAGUCGCGUGAGGGAUGACGGUCCUAUGGAUUGUAAACCUCUUUUGUCGGGGAGCAAAAGACGCCACGCGUGGCGUUCCGAGAGUACCCGAAGAAAAAGCAUCGGCUAACUCCGUGCCAGCAGCCGCGGUAAUACGGAGGAUGCGAGCGUUAUCUGGAUUUAUUGGGUUUAAAGGGUGCGCAGGCGGAAGAUCAAGUCAGCGGUAAAGUUGAGAGGCUCAACCUCUUCGAGCCGUUGAAACUGG